rnacentral:misc_RNA from 1 species
GACCGUCACCAUCAUGACCGAAUCCGAGGGAUUGGCGCCUCCGGAAGUCGAGCAGCUCGUCAGCUUUCCCAUCGAAACCCAGAUGAACGGCGUUCCCGGGGUGACGCGGGUGCGCUCCGUUUCCGGCGUGGGGCUCUCGAUUGUCUAUGUCGAGUUCGACUGGGGUACCGAUAUCUAUCGCAACCGGCAGCAGAUCGCCGAGCGGCUUUCUCUGGUCAG